rnacentral:rRNA from 1 species
GACGAACGCUGGCGGCGUGCUUAACACAUGCAAGUCGAACGGAAAGGCCCUGCUUGCAGGGUACUCGAGUGGCGAACGGGUGAGUAACACGUGGGUGAUCUGCCCUGCACUUCGGGAUAAGCCUGGGAAACUGGGUCUAAUACCGGAUAGGAGCCAUUUUUAGUGUGAUGGUUGGAAAGUUUUUUCGGUGUAGGAUGAGCUCGCGGCCUAUCAGCUUGUUGGUGGGGUAAUGGCCUACCAAGGCGGCGACGGGUAGCCGGCCUGAGAGGGUGGACGGCCACAUUGGGACUGAGAUACGGCCCAGACUCCUACGGGAGGCAGCAGUGGGGAAUAUUGCACAAUGGGCGCAAGCCUGAUGCAGCGACGCCGCGUGGGGGAUGACGGCCUUCGGGUUGUAAACUCCUUUCGCUAGGGACGAAGCUUUUUGUGACGGUACCUAGAUAAGAAGCACCGGCAAACUACGU